GAUGAACGCUGGCGGCGUGCCUAACACAUGCAAGUCGAACGAACAGACGCUGAGCUUGCUCCUCUGACGUUAGCGGCGGGCGGGCGUGUCACGCGUGGAUCACCUACCUCUAUUUCGGGGAUCAUCUCGGAACACCGGCUAUAAUACGAGAGAAUAUCUUGCACCGCAGUGGUCAGUGGUUAAUUACGGCUUUUGUGUCUGUUCUAGCUGGUUCCGCGCUGGCUUGGCUAGUUGGUGAGGUAACAGCCUACCAAGGCUACGAGGCGUAGCCGAACUGCGAGGCUGAUCGCCCACACUAGAACUGAGACACGGUCAAGACUCCUACGGGAGGCAGCAGUAGGGAAUCUUACGCAAUGGGCGAAAGCCUGACACAGCAACGCCGCGUGAGUGAUGAAGGUCUUCGGAUCGUAAAGCCCUGUUAUUGGUGAAGAACAGCUGUGGAAGUAGACAUGGACGUCGUGACGGUACCUAAUAAAAAAGCACCGGCUAACUACGUG
rnacentral:rRNA from 1 species